rnacentral:lncRNA from 1 species
UUUAUAUCAGAUCCAAAGAAACCAGCCAGGGGUCAUGUGCUUGCUCAUGCGGCCACAAUAAGGUUGAUGUUCAGGAAAGGCAAAGGUGAACAGCGAGUCUGCAAGGUGUCUGAUGCCCCAAAUUUGCCCGAAGCUGAAGCAAUAUCCUUUUACCUCAAUUUCAGUGUAAAGUUUUUCUGAGUACCCUCUAAUCACUUAACUCCAUGUCGUUUGACCAUGAUGAUCAGACUACAAGUUACCAGCUCUUAAUCAAAGACUGCAUGAACUAAUUCGAUUAGAACUAAGACCAAAUUAUUUAAUCUAUUGGAUAUUACCUUUCAAACAUGACUGUAUGAAUCAAAUUAAAUCCCGGCAUCAGCAUUUAGCAAAUCUUAUCUAAGUACUGCAACUUUGUUGUUUGGUUAUCCUUGACGGAAGCAUGUCUUUCAGAUAACACCAAGGGGCAUUGCAGAUGCGAAGGACUGACUCCGAGGUGAGACCAAGCUUGGCAGAAAAAUGUAGGCCAAAGUAAUAUACUUUUUAAUUGACUGUUUAUAUUCCUCACCCUUAGAAUUUAAGCUGCAAAGUAAGGAUUUGCCUUCCCU